rnacentral:tRNA from 1 species
AGGCCAGUAGCUCAAUUAGGCAGAGCGUCGGUCUCCAAAACCGAAGGUUGGGGGUUCGAUUCCCUCCUGGCCUG